AAAGAUAAGGAAGGUGGGGAGGGAGGGGUGAGAUUGCGGAAGACUUUAACUGCCACUGGAAGAACCAGGGAGAAGCAGUAGGAGGCUCCAGGUGAAGCCUUGAGUGGGAGACCAUGAGAGCCCGUGGGCCUCGUGCUGGUCCUAGCCUAUUAGAGCAGAAAGGGCUCCUAAAGAUGACCUGGUCCCAUGUCUUUCAUCUUCCAGAUGGAAAAACUGAGGCCCAGAGUGGAGACUGUAGAUCUCCCAGAAAACAAGAACCUGUCCUCAGGUCUGCUGUCUCCUAGUUACAGCCACUUUGAAAUGAACACCCCUCCUCUGCCAAGUGCUUCCUGCCAUGAUGCAUUGUGCUGGCUCAGGCUCAAAGCAACAUACCAAGGGACUGAACCCUCUGGAACUGUGAGCCAAAAUAAACCUUUUCUUCUGAUAAA